CUGGGGCUAGGCCAAAAAAUGAGGUUAGUAAACCAAAACCUACAAUUGGAAUUGUUGUUGAACAAAUGACCAAAUCAAAUACUGAUAACUUACUGAUACAAGGUUUGCAGUUUUCAGUCACCUGAGCAGGUCAGCUUUACAUUGGUGUGAGAAGCGGCUUGAAAAACCAUUGAUACAUUCUCAUGGCUCUGGAACUGGUUAAACCUGGUGUCAGUCAUCUCUCUUGCACUUUUUGAAGAGGCCACUGAAGUGUCCAAUAUGUACAUAUGCUUUUCUGUAUGCUGAAUGACAAUGUAAACAGUAAAUUAGAGUGUGCUGUGGUUCCAGUGACCUAAUUUAAAGUUAUUGAGGAGAGACUCUCUCGCUCUCAUCCUCUCUCUCUAUUUUCUUUUCUCUCUGAGUGGCUAAAACUGACUGGAACAUGAUAAUAACAGCCUUUACUGUCUGCCAGCUUCCACUAGCUAAACACACCAUUCCUUGAAGAAGCAUUCCUUAUGAUCCUUCCCUCUGGUGCAUGUACAUGUCUGGAUGUCUGUGGAUGUGAGUGAGAUCUUGUGUGAGUUUGUGUUCUGAUGUGAGCGUAAAAGUUUUCCAUUUGAUUACCCAUUACAUGCUUGACUCCACAUUUCAGAAGCACAUGGCAAAUAACACUUAAAGUGCCAAGGAAAAGAUGGACAGAAUGCUUUUAUUUGUGAAAGUGUGAACAAAGUUCACAAAGGUCUGUUUAACAGCAGAAACAAAUGAGUAGUAGCAGACUACUAUAGCACUUAUGAGCAAAACUGAUUUGGUCUGCUGUGACAUAUGUUUAAAGAAUUGUCAUUGGGACUGAUCAGAUUAAUGUCAGUGUUGGUUUUAAGGUUACAUUUCUUGAAUAAAAUCUGAUGAUACGAAAAUCUGUUUUUCUCAUUUCAGAGCUCACGGGAGGAGAGGGAGAAGGAAAGGUCACGUUUGGACUCCAUGGUUCUGUUAAUAAUGAAGUUGGAUCAGCUGGACAAAGAGAUUGAGAAUGCCCUAAGCUCCUCCCUCAAUAGUACGCCCAAUUUAAAGAGGCAGAUCAUCUCUGAAGUUGAUUUAGAAAUGCUGGAUUCAGCAGGAAGUCUUUCAGCCUCCUCCCAGUCUCUAAACACCCCACUUUAUCGCUCGUCAUCAUCGCUGUCUUCAUCAGGACCCUCUGGAACUGCUGGGGCUAGGCCAAAAAAUGAGGUUAGUAAACCAAAACCUACAAUUGGAAUUGUUGUUGAACAAAUGACCAAAUCAAAUACUGAUAACUUACUGAUACAAGGUUUGCAGUUUUCAGUCACCUGAGCAGGUCAGCUUUACAUUGGUGUGAGAAGCGGCUUGAAAAACCAUUGAUACAUUCUCAUGGCUCUGGAACUGGUUAAACCUGGUGUCAGUCAUCUCUCUUGCACUUUUUGAAGAGGCCACUGAAGUGUCCAAUAUGUACAUAUGCUUUUCUGUAUGCUGAAUGACAAUGUAAACAGUAAAUUAGAGUGUGCUGUGGUUCCAGUAGCCACUUUAAAAGUUAUUGAGGAGAGACUCUCUCGCUCUCAUCCUCUCUCUCAUUUUCUUUCUCUCUGAGUGGCUAAAACUGCUGGAACAUGAUAAUAACAGCCUUUACUGUCUGCCAGCUUCCACUAGCUAAAACACACCAUUCCUUGAAGAAGCAUUCCUUAUGAUCUUCCCCUCCUGGUGCAUGUACAUGUCUGGAUGUCUGUGGAUGUGAGUGAGAUCUUGUGUGAGUUUGUGUUCUGAUGUGAGCGUAAAAGUUUUCCAUUUGAUUACCCAUUACAUGCUUGACUCCACAUUUCAGAAGCACAUGGCAAAUAACACUUAAAGUGCCAAGGAAAAGAUGGACAGAAUGCUUUUAUUUGUGAAAGUGUGAACAAAGUUCACAAAGGUCUGUUUAACAGCAGAAACAAAUGAGUAGUAGCAGACUACUAUAGCACUUAUGAGCAAAACUGAUUUAAAAUGUUAAUAAAGAUAUUGUUCAUGUUAUUCAGUAUGUGUGUGUGGGUGUAUACAUAGUGUAUUUAUCAUUUUUAAAUGUAUGAUCCUAAAUAUAGUCAUACUUUAUAUAUACAUACAGUUUAAAUACAGUUUAAAUUGUCUGAUAUUCAUCUUUAAUCUUUCG
rnacentral:lncRNA from 1 species